GAUGAACGCUGGCGGCGUGCCUAAUACAUGCAAGUCGAACGGACAGGCGCUGCUCUUGCGGGGGUGACGUUAGCGGCGGACGGGUGAGUAACACGUGGAUAACCUCCCUAUCAGUCUGGGAUAACCUCGUGAAAGGGGCGCUAAUACGGGAUGAUAUCUUGAGCCGCCUGGGUCAUUGGUGAAAGGCGGUUUUGCUGUCAGUUCUAGCGGGAUGCGCGCCGCAUUGGCUAGUUGGGAAGGUCACGGGCUAGCAAGGCAACGAGGCGUAGCCGAGCUGAGAGGGGGGUCGGCCACACUGGAACUGGGACACGGUCCAGACGACUACGGGAGGGAGCAGAAGGGAAGGUGCCGCAACAGGCGGAAGCCUGACGGAGUAACGCGGCGUGAGUUGUGAAGGGGUUGGGUUCGGAAUACUCUGCUAUGAGGGAAGAACAGAUGUGUAAGUAACUAUGGAGGGCUUGACGGUACCUGAUCAGAAAGCCCCGGCUAACUACGUG
rnacentral:rRNA from 1 species